UUUAUUUUUUUUAUUUUCUUUUCUCCCUAUUUUUCAUCAAUUCAAACAUUUCAAACAUAGUGCAAGAAUAGUGUGGAAUUAAUUAUUUUGUGGUGAUAGUUGCUUCCCAUUCAGCAAGCAUGACGCACUCUAAUAAGACAAGAAAUUCAAUUUUUUUAUUAAUAAAUUUGAGACCUUAUAAUUUUAAAAAUAUUUUAAAAUUAUUAAAUUAAAGAUAAUUAUUAUAUAAAAUCCAAUUUAAUAGUUUCCCUCCACUUUACUGAUUAGUUCAACAACAUGUCAAUUACACACAAUGUAUUAAUUGCUAUUUCCAUAGUUUCAUUAUUAUGCUCUUUCUUUUUCACAUCACCACAUCCACAUAAUCUUCCCAUUAGCAGCAUACUCUUCUUAUUUCAUGGACAUAAUCUAGCAAUUAUGUAGCCAAAAACAAAAACAAUAAAUUUUAACUCAAUAAUAUUAAAAUUAUAUUCAAAUUAUAACCAAAAUCAAUUAUAUUAAAAAAGUUAUAUCCAAAUGCAUGAUUAAAAUCAUCAAAUUCAUUUAUUUCAAUUUAAAGAUUUCAGUUUCAAUUUUAUUUAAUUGAUAUUUUGAUUAUUUUUUUUAUUUUAAAUUCAAAAUAAUCGAUUUAUUAUUUAUUAAUAUAUAAAUGAGUCAUAUUAAGAAAAAAA
rnacentral:misc_RNA from 1 species